GACGAACGCUGGCGGCGUGCCUAAUACAUGCAAGUUGAGCGCUGAAGGUUGGUACUUGUACCAACUGGAUGAGCAGCGAACGGGUGAGUAACGCGUGGGGAAUCUGCCUUUGAGCGGGGGACAACAUUUGGAAACGAAUGCUAAUACCGCAUAAAAACUUUAAACACAAGUUUUAAGUUUGAAAGAUGCAAUUGCAUCACUCAAAGAUGAUCCCGCGUUGUAUUAGCUAGUUGGUGAGGUAAAGGCUCACCAAGGCGAUGAUACAUAGCCGACCUGAGAGGGUGAUCGGCCACAUUGGGACUGAGACACAGCCCAAACUCCUACGGGAGGCAGCAGUAGGGAAUCUUCGGCAAUGGACGAAAGUCUGACCGAGCAACGCCGCGUGAGUGAAGAAGGUUUUCGGAUCGUAAAACUCUGUUGGUAGAGAAGAACGUUGGUGAGAGUGGAAAGCUCAUCAAGGGACGGUAACUACCCAGAAAGGGACGGCUAACUACGU
rnacentral:rRNA from 1 species